rnacentral:rRNA from 1 species
GAUGAACGCUGGCGGCGUGCCUAGUACAUGCAAGUCGAGCGAACGGACGAGAAGCUUGCUUCUCUGAUGUUAGCGGCGGACGGGUGAGUAACACGUGGAUAACCUACCUAUAAGACUGGGAUAACUUCGGGAAACCGGAGCUAAUACCGGAUGAUAUUUUGAACCGCAUGGUUCAAAAGUGAAAGACGGUCUUGCUGUCACUUAUAGAUGGAUCCGCGCUGCAUUAGCUAGUUGGUAAGGUAACGACUUACCAAGGCAACGAUGCAUAGCCGACCUGAGAGGGUGAUCGGCCACACUGGAACUGAGACACGGUCCAGACUCCUACGGGAGGCAGCAGUAGGGAAUCUUCCGCAAUGGGCGAAAGCCUGACGGAGCAACGCCGCGUGAGUGAUGAAGGUCUUCGGAUCGUAAAACUCUGUUAUUAGGGAAGAACAUAUGUGUAAGUAACUGUGCACAUCUUGACGGUACCUAAUCAGAAAGCCACGGCUAACUACGUG